rnacentral:rRNA from 1 species
GACGAACGCUGGCGGCGUGCUUAACACAUGCAAGUAGAACGCAGUUGCGAACGGGUGAGUAACGCGUAGGUAACUGCCUGGUAGCGGGGGCUAACUAUUGGAAACGAUAGCUAAUCCCGCAUACUAACAGAUGGACCUGCGUUGUAUUAGCUAGUUGGGGGGGUAACGGCUCACCAAGGCAACGAUACAUAGCCGACCUGAGCGGGUGAGCGGGCACACGGGGACUGAGACACGGCCCAGACUCCUACGGGAGGCAGCAGUAGGGAAUCUUCGGCAAUGGAAGGAAGUCUGACCGAGCAACGCCGCGUGAGUGAAGAAGGGUUUCGGAUCGUAAAGCUCUGUUGUAAGAGAAGCGGUAUCUUACCAGAAAGGGACGGCUAACUACGUGCCAGCCGCCGCGGUAAUUC